GACGAACGCUGGCGGCGUGCUUAACACAUGCAAGUCGAACGGAAAGGCCCUGCUUUUGCGGGGUGCUCGAGUGGCGAAAGGGUGUGUAAAACGUGUGUAACCUGCCCUUGACUUUGGGAUAUAUUCAGGAAAAUGGGGCUAAUACCGGAUAGGCGCUCCUGCUGCAUGGUGGGGGCUGGAAAGUUUCGGCGGUUGGGGAUGGACUCGCGGCUUAUCAGCUUGUUGGUGGGGUAGUGGCUUACCAAGGCUUUGACGGGUAGCCGGCCUGAGAGGGUGACCGGCCACAUUGGGACUGAGAUACGGCCCAGACUCCUACGGGAGGCAGCAGUGGGGAAUAUUGCACAAUGGGCGGAAGCCUGAUGCAGCAACGCCGCGUGCGGGAUGACGGCCUUCGGGUUGUAAACCGCUUUCGCCUGUGACGAAGCGUGAGUGACGGUAAUGGGUAAAGAAGCACCGGCUAACUACGUG
rnacentral:rRNA from 1 species